UUAAGUUUUAACAGUACAAACCCUUAACUUUGCUUGAAAUCUUAUAAUUUUAGGCAAGCUUCAAAUCGAUCAAGAUCGCCAGCAGUAAAAUCAAGGUAUUUAAGCAGUCAUAAGCAAUUUAAUAUACUGAUUAAUUAAGAAAGAUAUUUGCACAUUGACAACACCCUACCUGGCCAAUCAGCACACAAGUGUGGUAAAAUGAAAUGUUAGUUGUACAAAACCUUAACUUUGUAUAAAAUCUUGCAAUUUAGGYGUGUAGCAACACAGUCCAGAUCACCAGCACCACCAAAAACACCAACCAGAUCAUCAUCAAGAUAUGAUCAGACAACACCUCCAAGGGUCCAGCAUAUGGCAAGGAGAAGGGUGGCGAUUGACCCU